rnacentral:rRNA from 1 species
GGGGAAUAUUGCGCAAUGGGGGAAACCCUGACGCAGCAAUACCGCGUGAGUGAAGAAGGUUUUCGGAUCGUAAAGCUCUGUUAUUGGGGAAGAAAAAAAGACGGUACCCAAGAAGAAAGCCCCGGCUAACUUCGUGCCAGCAGCCGCGGUAAUACGAAGGGGGCUAGCGUUGUUCGGAAUUACUGGGCGUAAAGCGCACGUAGGCUGACUUUUAAGUCAGGGGUGAAAUCCCGGGGCUCAACCUCGGAACUGCCUUUGAUACUGGAAGUCUUGAGUCCGAGAGAGGUGAGUGGAACUCCGAGUGUAGAGGUGAAAUUCGUAGAUAUUCGGAAGAACACCAGUGGCGAAGGCGGCUCACUGGCUCGGUACUGACGCUGAGGUGCGAAAGCGUGGGGAGCAAACA